rnacentral:rRNA from 1 species
CCUACGGGUGUCAGCAGUGGGGAAUAUUGCACAAUGGGGGAAACCCUGAUGCAGCGACGCCGCGUGAGUGAAGAAGUAUUUCGGUAUGUAAAGCUCUAUCAGCAGGGAAGAAAAUGACGGUACCUGAUUAAGAAGCACCGGCUAAAUACGUGCCAGCAGCCGCGGUAAUACGUAUGGUGCAAGCGUUAUCCGGAUUUACUGGGUGUAAAGUGAGCGCAGGCGGCGCGUUAAGCCUGGUGGGAAGGCCCGCGGCCAAACCGCGGGACUGCAUUUGGAACUGGCGCGCUGGAGUGCCGGAGGGGUAGGCGGAAUUCCUAGUGUAGCGGUGAAAGGCGUAGAUAGUAGGAGGAACACCAGUGGCGAAGGCGGCCUACUGGACGGUGACUGACGCUGAGGCUCGAAAGCGUGGGGAGCAAACAGGAUUAGAUACCCUAGUAGUC